rnacentral:rRNA from 1 species
GACGAACGCUGGCGGCGUGCUUAACACAUGCAAGUCGAACGGUUAAGGGACCGGUUUUUGCUGCUUCUGGAUGAGAAGCGGACUGGUGAAUAACACGUGAAUACCUUGCCCCCUUCUUCUGGAUCACCGCAUAACAGUGUGGCUAAGACGCUAUAUUCUGCUACUUCUGCCUAGGGCGUGUUGGAAGGCUAUUGGUUCGUUGUGGGAUGGUCUCGCGGCGUCUCAGCUUGUUGUUGGGGUUAUGGCCUGCCAAGGCUGUGAUGGGUAGCCGUCCUGAGAGGGUGGUCGGCCGCACUGGGACGGAGACAGGGACCAGACUGCUACGGGAGGGAGCAGUCGGGAAUCUUCAGCAAUGGAUGCGAGUCUGACCGAGCAAGGCCGGGUGAGUGAGGAAGGUUGUCGGUUUGGAAGAAUCUGUUGUUAGAGAGGAACGAGGAUGAGAGUGGAAAGUUCAUCGCUUGACGGUAUCUAGCCAGAAAGCCACGGCUAACUACGUG